rnacentral:rRNA from 1 species
CGAUACGAGUUUGAUCCUGGCUCAGGAUGAACGCUAGCGACAGGCCUAACACACGCAAGUCGAGGGGCAGCACAUGCGUAGCAAUACAAUGGUGGCGACCGGCGCACGGGUGAGUAACACGUAUGCAACCUACCUGUAAGUGGGGAAUAACCCGGAGAAAUCCGGACUAAUACCGCAUAAUACUUUUGAACUGCAUGGUUUAAAAGUUAAACAUUUAUGGCUUACAGAUGGGCAUGCGUAUGAUUAGUUAGUUGGUGAGGUAACGGCUCACCAAGACAUCGAUCAUUAGGGGUUCUGAGAGGAAGGUCCCCCACACUGGUACUGAGACACGGACCAGACUCCUACGGGAGGCAGCAGUGAGGAAUAUUGGUCAAUGGGCGAGAGCCUGAACCAGCCAAGUCGCGUGAAGGAAGACGGUUCUAUGGAUUGUAAACUUCUUUUGUAAGGGAAUAAAAAAGAGUACGUGUAUUUUCUUGUAUGUACUUUACGAAUAAGGAUCGGCUAACUCCGUG